AUUGAACGCUGGCGGCAUGCUUUACACAUGCAAGUCGAACGGCAGCGCGGGCUUCGGCCUGGCGGCGAGUGGCGAACGGGUGAGUAAUACAUCGGAACGUGCCCAGUAGUGGGGGAUAGCUCGGCGAAAGCCGGAUUAAUACCGCAUACGACCUGAGGGUGAAAGCGGGGGAUCUUCGGACCUCGCGCUAUUGGAGCGGCCGAUGGCAGAUUAGCUAGUUGGUGGGGUAAAGGCCUACCAAGGCGACGAUCUGUAGCUGGUCUGAGAGGACGACCAGCCACACUGGGACUGAGACACGGCCCAGACUCCUACGGGAGGCAGCAGUGGGGAAUUUUGGACAAUGGGCGAAAGCCCGAUCCAGCAAUGCCGCGUGUGUGAUGAAGGCCUUCGGGUUGCAAAGCACUUUUGGCGGGAACGAAAAGGACUGUGCCAAUACCACGGUUCGAUGACGGUACCCGCAGAAUAAGCACCGGCUAACUACGUG
rnacentral:rRNA from 1 species